rnacentral:lncRNA from 1 species
ACUGCAAUCUCGAAAGCUUUCACUGCCAGCAGAUUUUGAUUCAGACUUUUCACAACUAGAUUUCAAAGCAGCAUUCAGGCCGAUUGAUACUGGUUCAGUCACAAAACUUGCCUCAAAGCUUUUUCCUUGGGAGCCCAUCAAUGCACAUAUACUGCAGAUAAUCCAAGGUGGAAUAAAUGUAUCCUUAAUUUCAAUGCUACAAAAAAACCAUCUGAUGAUCCUUCUGCAAACUCAUUAUCUUUCCAAAUAGACCCGUUAUUAGCCGCAAUAUCUUCAACCCUUCUCAUCUUCAUGCAUUUAAUAUCAGGAGAAGUCAAAGCAGAACUUUGAA